UCAACAUGUUAACCUGUCCCAGCGGAUGUUGAUGCUCUUAAAUCUCUUAAAUGAUGUUGAGAAAAAUCCAGGACCGGAGUAUUCGUGCAAAUGGAUAUCCUGCAAGGAAGACUUCCACUCCAUAGGACAGCAAGAUGCACAUAUCAUCUCUCAUGUGGUUCAAGAGAAAUGCUGUAGAUGGGGAGACUGUACCAAAGUCCUGAGCUUUAAUAGUCUUGAAAUCCAUGAACUUAAACAUCUCUAUGAUGUGAGUUUAGCACUG